AGCGUACACGGUGGAUGCCCUGGCAGUCAGAGGCGAUGAAGGACGUGCUAAUCUGCGAUAAGCGUCGGUAAGGUGAUAUGAACCGUUAUAACCGGCGAUUUCCGAAUGGGGAAACCCAGUGUGUUUCGACACACUAUCAUUAACUGAAUCCAUAGGUUAAUGAGGCGAACCGGGGGAACUGAAACAUCUAAGUACCCCGAGGAAAAGAAAUCAACCGAGAUUCCCCCAGUAGCGGCGAGCGAACGGGGAGCAGCCCAGAGCCUGAAUCAGUGUGUGUGUUAGUGGAAGCGUCUGGAAAGGCGCGCGAUACAGGGUGACAGCCCCGUACACAAAAAUGCACAUAUUGUGAGCUCGAUGAGUAGGGCGGGACACGUGGUAUCCUGUCUGAAUAUGGGGGGACCAUCCUCCAAGGCUAAAUACUCCUGACUGACCGAUAGUGAACCAGUACCGUGAGGGAAAGGCGAAAAGAACCCCGGCGAGGGGAGUGAAAAAGAACCUGAAACCGUGUACGUACAAGCAGUGGGAGCACGCUUAGGCGUGUGACUGCGUACCUUUUGUAUAAUGGGUCAGCGACUUAUAUUCUGUAGCAAGGUUAACCGAAUAGGGGAGCCGAAGGGAAACCGAGUCUUAACUGGGCGUUAAGUUGCAGGGUAUAGACCCGAAACCCGGUGAUCUAGCCAUGGGCAGGUUGAAGGUUGGGUAACACUAACUGGAGGACCGAACCGACUAAUGUUGAAAAAUUAGCGGAUGACUUGUGGCUGGGGGUGAAAGGCCAAUCAAACCGGGAGAUAGCUGGUUCUCCCCGAAAGCUAUUUAGGUAGCGCCUCGUGAAUUCAUCUCCGGGGGUAGAGCACUGUUUCGGCAAGGGGGUCAUCCCGACUUACCAACCCGAUGCAAACUGCGAAUACCGGAGAAUGUUAUCACGGGAGACACACGGCGGGUGCUAACGUCCGUCGUGAAGAGGGAAACAACCCAGACCGCCAGCUAAGGUCCCAAAGUCAUGGUUAAGUGGGAAACGAUGUGGGAAGGCCCAGACAGCCAGGAUGUUGGCUUAGAAGCAGCCAUCAUUUAAAGAAAGCGUAAUAGCUCACUGGUCGAGUCGGCCUGCGCGGAAGAUGUAACGGGGCUAAACCAUGCACCGAAGCUGCGGCAGCGACGCUGAUGCGUUGUUGGGUAGGGGAGCGUUCUGUAAGCCUGUGAAGGUGUGCUGUGAGGCAUGCUGGAGGUAUCAGAAGUGCGAAUGCUGACAUAAGUAACGAUAAAGCGGGUGAAAAGCCCGCUCGCCGGAAGACCAAGGGUUCCUGUCCAACGUUAAUCGGGGCAGGGUGAGUCGACCCCUAAGGCGAGGCCGAAAGGCGUAGUCGAUGGGAAACAGGUUAAUAUUCCUGUACUUGGUGUUACUGCGAAGGGGGGACGGAGAAGGCUAUGUUGGCCGGGCGACGGUUGUCCCGGUUUAAGCGUGUAGGCUGGUUUUCCAGGCAAAUCCGGAAAAUCAAGGCUGAGGCGUGAUGACGAGGCACUACGGUGCUGAAGCAACAAAUGCCCUGCUUCCAGGAAAAGCCUCUAAGCAUCAGGUAACAUCAAAUCGUACCCCAAACCGACACAGGUGGUCAGGUAGAGAAUACCAAGGCGCUUGAGAGAACUCGGGUGAAGGAACUAGGCAAAAUGGUGCCGUAACUUCGGGAGAAGGCACGCUGAUAUGUAGGUGAAGUCCCUCGCGGAUGGAGCUGAAAUCAGUCGAAGAUACCAGCUGGCUGCAACUGUUUAUUAAAAACACAGCACUGUGCAAACACGAAAGUGGACGUAUACGGUGUGACGCCUGCCCGGUGCCGGAAGGUUAAUUGAUGGGGUUAGCCGCAAGGCGAAGCUCUUGAUCGAAGCCCCGGUAAACGGCGGCCGUAACUAUAACGGUCCUAAGGUAGCGAAAUUCCUUGUCGGGUAAGUUCCGACCUGCACGAAUGGCGUAAUGAUGGCCAGGCUGUCUCCACCCGAGACUCAGUGAAAUUGAACUCGCUGUGAAGAUGCAGUGUACCCGCGGCAAGACGGAAAGACCCCGUGAACCUUUACUAUAGCUUGACACUGAACAUUGAGCCUUGAUGUGUAGGAUAGGUGGGAGGCUUAGAAGUGUGGACGCCAGUCUGCAUGGAGCCGACCUUGAAAUACCACCCUUUAAUGUUUGAUGUUCUAACGUUGACCCGUAAUCCGGGUUGCGGACAGUGUCUGGUGGGUAGUUUGACUGGGGCGGUCUCCUCCUAAAGAGUAACGGAGGAGCACGAAGGUUGGCUAAUCCUGGUCGGACAUCAGGAGGUUAGUGCAAUGGCAUAAGCCAGCUUGACUGCGAGCGUGACGGCGCGAGCAGGUGCGAAAGCAGGUCAUAGUGAUCCGGUGGUUCUGAAUGGAAGGGCCAUCGCUCAACGGAUAAAAGGUACUCCGGGGAUAACAGGCUGAUACCGCCCAAGAGUUCAUAUCGACGGCGGUGUUUGGCACCUCGAUGUCGGCUCAUCACAUCCUGGGGCUGAAGUAGGUCCCAAGGGUAUGGCUGUUCGCCAUUUAAAGUGGUACGCGAGCUGGGUUUAGAACGUCGUGAGACAGUUCGGUCCCUAUCUGCCGUGGGCGCUGGAGAACUGAGGGGGGCUGCUCCUAGUACGAGAGGACCGGAGUGGACGCAUCACUGGUGUUCGGGUUGUCAUGCCAAUGGCACUGCCCGGUAGCUAAAUGCGGAAGAGAUAAGUGCUGAAAGCAUCUAAGCACGAAACUUGCCCCGAGAUGAGUUCUCCCUGACUCCUUGA
rnacentral:rRNA from 1 species